UACAGAGGGUGCGAGCGUUGUCCGGAAUCACUGGGCGUAAAGGGCGCGUAGGUGGCGGCCCAAGUCCGGGGUGAAAGCUCGCCGCUUAACGGCGAGUCGGCCACGGAGACUGGGUGGCUCGAGCACUGUAGGGGCAGAUGGAAUUCCCGGUGUAGUGGUGAAAUGCGUAGAGAUCGGGAGGAAUACCUGUGGCGAAGGCGGCCUACUGGGCCGGACCUGACGCUGAGACGCGAAGGCGUGGGGAGCGAACGGG
rnacentral:rRNA from 1 species